GACAAGGUACUCCAAAGUUCUACGCUGGUGCUAGACGGAAGAACGGUUCACUAUACACCAAAAAGUCAAUGUUAUCUAUUAGAUACGGACUUCAGCGUUUUUUCCUCAUUUCUAAAAAUGUGGACAUUGUUAAGCAUGAAGACUUUACAAAUUCGAAGACACUUUUCAAGCAAUUUUUUUUGUUUAAAGGACACAGAGUUGGGAAUCACAAACCAACUAUCUCACAAGAAGACAUGGACAAAAUCCAAGGUUCGCUUGAUUUGGAUGAUCCUCAAGGUCUUCAGGACAAGGUCUUUCUUGAUGUUAUGUUGUACUUUUGCAACCCUGGGAGGGUGAAUUUGCGUGAAAUGACACUCGACAGCUUUGACAUUUGUGAUGAAGGGGGAAAAUGCUCCGUAACUCUGAAAGAUACACUCACUAAAAACAACCGUGUAGGCCUAGAUCUAGGUCUUGAUAAACUAGAGAAAAGCCAAGUUGGUGUCAUGACUCCAACAAAUGGUCCACGAUGUCCUGUUGCCUCCUUCUUACGCUACAAAGAUAAAUUGAACCCCCAAUGUAAGUGGUUUUGGCAGAAACCGGCAAAUGCACAGACCAAGCGUGAGUUCAAAUUAAAUCCAUCUUCUGAUCAACAAUGGUACUGUAAUGCACCCCUAGGGAAAAACACCAUCGGAGACAAGAUGAAAACAAUUUCAUCCCGUGCAGGUACCAAGGCUUACACUAACCUGUACCUAAGGGCAACCAGCAUCAGUACCCUACAAAAUGCAAGGUUCUGAGAUAGGGAGAUCAUGAGUGUGUAUGGACAUCGCUCAGAAAGCAGUCUCGGGCACUAUGCAUUGACCAGCAGUGAAACAAAAGAGAACGCAAGUUGUGCUAUCGCGGCAGAUGUUGAUUCGAAAUCAGUACCUUGUCAUGGACAUCCACUGGUGGCACUGUUAGUGAGCGUAGUGAAAGCCAGGAACUCUGAGAACUAAAUGAAAUAGUAAAUGAGAUCACAAAUAACCCACAGAUCUUCCUACAGUAUGUACAUGCAACAUCACUGCAAGUCGCUAUUCCCAUGUUUCAAGCCAGCAAGCCGAAGCUCCUACAUCAGGCCUGAUAAAAACCCGAUUUAAAUCGGUUUCCCGAUUUUUUUUAUUUUUCCCGAUUUUUUCCUGAU